GAGACACCCUAUGGAGCAGGAGUUGCUUCAGUGGGGCUUUGGUGCUCACUGAGUCUGCCCCUUAGUGUGUCACA
rfam:Myotis brandtii contig250800, whole genome shotgun sequence.